GACGAACGCUGGCGGCAUGCUUAACACAUGCCAGUCGAACGGAAAGGCCCUGCUUUUGUGGGGUGCUCGAGUGGCGAACGGGUGAGUAACACGUGAGUAACCUGCCCUUGACUUUGGGAUAACUUCAGGAAACUGGGGCUAAUACCGGAUAGGAGCUCCUGCUGCAUGGUGGGGGUUGGAAAGUUUCGGCGGUUGGGGAUGGACUCGCGGCUUAUCAGCUUGUUGGUGGGGUAGUGGCUUACCAAGGCUUUGACGGGUAGCCGGCCUGAGAGGGUGACCGGCCACAGUGGGACUGAGAUACGGCCCAGACUCCUACGGGAGGCAGCAGUGGGGAAUAUUGCAAAAUGGGCGGAAGCCUGAUGCAGCAACGCCGCGUGCGGGAUGACGGCCUUCGGGUUGUAAACCGCUUUCGCCUGUGACGAAGCGUGAGUGACGGUAAUGGGUAAAGAAGCACCGGCUAACUACGUG
rnacentral:rRNA from 1 species